AUACUCUGGUUUCUCUUCAGAUUGAAUAAAGCUGUUGCCUUUUACUAAAGAUUUUUGUGGAGAGGAACAAUCAUGAGUUACUGUGAAUGUUUUGAGGCUCUACCACGUGCACAGCU